AUCAGACAGAAAAAUAAAAGUGAAGGAAUAAAAAUCUAGGGUCUAACGUAAGGUUAGAUCUAGUAAAAGAUACACAAUAGUUUCCGGUGUAGAAACUAUUGUGCGAAAAAGAAUUAAUUAAAUGCUGGAAGCUUAAUUGGAAAGGAAAAUAAAAAUAAAAAUAAAAACUGCAAUUAAAAGCAAAAAAACAGUAAAGAAAAAUAAUGGUAUGCUGGCACGGCUGGAAGAAGAAAAUUGAACGAAGUCGGAGAGCUUCUGCAGGGUUUGCAAAGCCAAU
rnacentral:lncRNA from 1 species